AUAAAACAUAUACAUUUUUCUGUUUUAAUUUUAUUAGUUCAUUGUUUCAUUUUAUGCUAUGAAUGAAUGUCAAUCACUGUUUUAUAAUGUUGUGAUUUUCUGCUCGGUAAAUUCUGGCCUUGUUAGCCGAAGGUGAUCUCGGUUGAAAAUAAAGCAAUUUAUAAUACGUUUUUUGACUGGAAUUAGCUGUAACAUUUUCUAGCCAGACAUUUUUACAGGUUUACCUUGAAACAUUGAAGCUACAGGAUGCAGAAUAACUGUCUCAUUCUGACCAAAACAACAAAUGAUGUUCAAUGGAUACAUGUACAGGUGAGGCAGUGAGGGUGGAGGAGAGGAGAGGGAACCUACAUGAGAAAUGAGACUGAGGAGGACAAGAUGGAGUGUUUCAAGGUGUAGAGGGGCUUCUCUGUGGCUUCAUCAAUAUAACACUGCAUGUGCACCAGACAAGCAACUACAGCACUUCACUGGAGACAAGCCAGAGUUUCCCAAGGUGACCUAAAGAUGAGCCUGCUCGUGUGGUGUAUGUUGGUCUUGUUCCUCUGUUCGAGCAGUAAAGAGAUGGUUGUGGAUAAAACCAGACCAAUGGCAUUCAUAUCAGCUGGAGAAAGGACAAAACAUCAUCCGAAACCUGAAAAGACACGCAGACGGGACGUUCACCAGCGACUUCACCCACUAUCUUGAUAAGAUUAAGGCUAAGGAUUUUGUGGAGUGGCUGGCCAGCACCAAACGAGAAGGAUGUCAUGAAGACAUGCCCCACAUCGCAGACGUAUAAGACACUCCAGAUAACGCGUACGCUUGUGCUUUACAUCAGCCAGCAGCAUAAAAGAAGAUGAGCCCUCCACAACAAAAUAGAAAAUACUGCUCGGUUUAUUUAUUCUGAGGUAUUCUCAGAUAAAAAGUACAUUUUUGCACUUUGCUGUUUCCAUUAUAAGUAAGAAAAUGAAGAAAAAUAAUCAGGAUGUUCAACUUCUUAUCACAACUUUUUUGUUAUUUGGAAAUGUCAGAAUUAUUUCCUUUGAAGCUUAAGUUCAUCUACAGACUCACUAUUAUUUCAAACGUCAUUUUUUUCAAUUUCAGAAGAAACUUCACAGUCAUGUUUGAAUACCCGCACCUUACAGAGAAGGCAGGCUUGAUUGAUUGAUUGAUUUAUAUUUUGCGUCUUAUUUUGAUUUUCUGCAGUAUGCAUAAACUAAGAUGCAAGAUGAAAAAAACUUUAUGAAUGCAUUGUAUAUUCACCUGUAUGCCUUUGAUGUCGUGAUGCGCACAAAUGUAUUUUCAAACUGUUUAAGAUUU